AAAAAAAGGAAAGAAAGGAAAAAAGAAGAGAGAGAGGGAAUCAUUAACAGGUUUCCCUUCUCCCUCUCUCUCUCUCUCUCUCUCUUUAAAUCACAUCA